rnacentral:lncRNA from 1 species
AGAAGAUCGGGCUCGCCCUAAUAUUAUGAGGCGUCCGACGGAAACUAUCCGUCGGAAUUUCCUUGGAAAUAUUUUAUAUUUCCGUCGGAAUUUCCUCGGAAAUCUUUAAUUCAAUUUUCGCGAAAUAUUUGGCGGCUUGGUUUACCCGGUUAAAUGAAAAUAUUCCGAGGAACUAGGAUUCCUCGGAAUACCCUCGGUAAUUACCGAGGAAAUUCUGAGGAACCAGGG